rnacentral:lncRNA from 1 species
GUUAACGAAAUCGCAGUUUGUUUCAAUUAAUGUUUUUCUUGAAUGUCACUCGCUGCCAUCAUCCGAGUGUGAACAUGCUGGAAGUAGAAUGGAAGAUGUACAAAGAAAUUGAUCAAUACACCAUUCAUGAACUCGGCAUCAUUUGCCUGGGAUUCUUCAAAAGCGAAACAUCUAUCAGAGAGCCCAAGCUGGUGGAGGCCAUAGUCGAUCGACUUGCUAAGAGUAUAGAUAUUGCUCAUGAUUUUACUGUGACUUCUAUCCUGAAAUGCAUACGCCUCUCAUUAAGAUUUACACACAUUGAAUACCUAGCUGAAAAUCUUAUUCCCGUCUUGGCCGAACGAGUUGACAAAUACCCAUUUGUAGUAUGUGUACAUAUUGCUGGCCUCUUGAACAAAAUCAUAUUCAGAAUGAUAAAAUUCUGAAAACUCUGGCUCAGAAACUUAAAGAGAACAUGAAAACAGCUAGAAUCAAGGAGUUGACAGCUGUUGCUGGAUGUCUUUCUGGACUGAACUACAAAUGUGAAGAAAUUCCAAACAUCUAUGAGUUAACUGUCAAUGAAUUCCGAAGCCCUGAUCGGCAGGAUGAAAUCAUGGAGCAUUCAAAAACACUUAGUAUUUUUCUGAACAAAAUGCAGGUUGAAGAACUGUAUCCAGAAGACCUUCUGUCGAAAGCUUUUUCCCACGAAUUCCUUGUCCAUUGUUUUGACAUAAUCUACUGUCUGGAAGAGGAGACAGGAAGGCCUUUACCAAUACCUGAAGAAAUUAGGCCUGAUGCAUAUGUAAAAACCACUUUACCAUCAGCUGGAGGAAAGUGGCAUUGUAUCUACGGCAUUGGAGAGUUUGGGCAUUGUUAUAAAACUGGAGAACCUGUUGGUUACAUGAGGUUGCGCAAAAGGCUCCUCACCAAAUUGGGCGUCGAACCUCACUUUUGUUUUCUUCCAUUUAUCAAAAUACUUCUUCUCUCUGAAGCAGAACGGUUGGAUGCUAUCAAGCAAAUUGUAAAUUAUAGCAAAUAUGAGCAGAUCUGGAGGACAAAUAGAUAG